rnacentral:rRNA from 1 species
GAUGAACGCUGGCGGCGUGCUUAACAUAUGCAAGUCGAACGGAAAGGCUCCUGCUUGCAGGGGUACUCGAGUGGCGAACGGGUGAGUAACACGUGGGUGAUCUGCCCUGCACUUCGGGAUAAGCCUGGGAAACUGGGUCUAAUACCGGAUAGGACCACAUUUUGGAUGGUGUGGUGGAAAGUUUUUCGGUGUGGGAUGAGCUCGCGGCCUAUCAGCUUGUUGGUGGGGUAAUGGCCUACCAAGGCGUCGACGGGUAGCCGGCCUGAGGGGGUGUACGGCCACAUUGGGACUGAGAUACGGCCCAGACUCCUACGGGAGGCAGCAGUGGGGAAUAUUGCACAAUGGGCGCAAGCCUGAUGCAGCGACGCCGCGUGGGGGAUGACGGCCUUCGGGUUGUAAACUCCUUUCGCUAGGGACGAAGCGCAAGUGACGGUACCUGGAGAAGAAGCACCGGCUAACUACGUG